AAUGAACGUUGGCGGCGUGGAUUAGGCAUGCAAGUCGCGCGGCAAGGAACCUUCGGGUUCUGGAGGAGCGGCAAACGGGGGUAGUAAGGCAUCGGAACGUACCCUCUUGUUGGGAAUAGCCGCGGGAAACUGCGAGUAAUGCCCAAUAAUCCCUACGGGGCAAAGGUCCGCCGCAGGAGGAGCGGCCGAUGUGAUACCAGCUAGUUGGUGAGGUAAUGGCUCACCAAGGGCUUAGACGUCUAGGGGGUGUGAGAGCAUGGCCCCCACCACUGGGACGUGAGAUACUGCCCACGACACCUACGGGUGGGCUGCAGUCGAGAAUCUUCGGCAAUGGGCGGCAAGCCU
rnacentral:rRNA from 1 species